AUUGAACGCUGGCGGCAUGCUUUACACAUGCAAGUCGAACGGUAACAGCACUUCGGUGGCUGACGAGUGGCGAACGGGUGCGUAAUACAUCGGAACGUGCCUAGUAGUGGGGGAUAACUACUCGAAAGAGUAGCUAAUACCGCAUGAGAUCUAAGGAUGAAAGCAGGGGACCUUCGGGCCUUGCGCUACUAGAGCGGCUGAUGGCAGAUUAGGUAGUUGGUGGGAUAAAAGCUUACCAAGCCGACGAUCUGUAGCUGGUCUGAGAGGACGACCAGCCACACUGGGACUGAGACACGGCCCAGACUCCUACGGGAGGCAGCAGUGGGGAAUUUUGGACAAUGGGCGCAAGCCUGAUCCAGCAAUGCCGCGUGCAGGAUGAAGGCCUUCGGGUUGUAAACUGCUUUUGUACGGAACGAAAAGCCCUCUUCUAAUACAGGAGGGUCAUGACGGUACCGGAAGAAUAAGCACCGGCUAACUACGUG
rnacentral:rRNA from 1 species